rnacentral:rRNA from 1 species
AGCGUACACGGUGGAUGCCUGGGCAGUCAGAGGCGAUGAAGGACGUACUAACUUGCGAUAAGCGCAGAUAAGGCAGUAAGAGCCGUUUGAGUCUGCGAUUUCCGAAUGGGGAAACCCAACUGCAUAAGCAGUUACUGUUAACUGAAUACAUAGGUUAACAGAGCAAACCGGGGGAACUGAAACAUCUAAGUACCCCGAGGAGAAGAAAUCAACCGAGAUUCCGGUAGUAGCGGCGAGCGAACCUGGAUUAGCCCUUAAGCACUCGGUGAAGUAGGUGAACAAGCUGGAAAGCUUGGCGAUACAGGGUGAUAGCCCCGUAACCGACGCUUCAUCGAGCGUGAAAUCGAGUAGGGCGGGACACGUGAUAUCCUGUCUGAAUAUGGGGGGACCAUCCUCCAAGGCUAAAUACUCCUGACUGACCGAUAGUGAACCAGUACCGUGAGGGAAAGGCGAAAAGAACCCCUGUGAGGGGAGUGAAAUAGAACCUGAAACCGUGUACGUACAAGCAGUAGGAGCACCUUCGUGGUGUGACUGCGUACCUUUUGUAUAAUGGGUCAGCGACUUAUAUUCAGUGGCAAGGUUAACCGUAUAGGGGAGCCGUAGCGAAAGCGAGUCUUAACUGGGCGCUCAGUCUCUGGAUAUAGACCCGAAACCGGGUGAUCUAGCCAUGGGCAGGUUGAAGGUUGAGUAACAUCAACUGGAGGACCGAACCGACUAAUGUUGAAAAAUUAGCGGAUGACUUGUGGCUAGGGGUGAAAGGCCAAUCAAACUCGGAGAUAGCUGGUUCUCCCCGAAAGCUAUUUAGGUAGCGCCUCGGACGAAUACUACUGGGGGUAGAGCACUGUUAAGGCUAGGGGGUCAUCCCGACUUACCAACCCUUUGCAAACUCCGAAUACCAGUAAGUACUAUCCGGGAGACACACGGCGGGUGCUAACGUCCGUCGUGGAGAGGGAAACAACCCAGACCGCCAGCUAAGGUCCCAAAGUAUUGCUAAGUGGGAAACGAUGUGGGAAGGCUCAGACAGCUAGGAUGUUGGCUUAGAAGCAGCCAUCAUUUAAAGAAAGCGUAAUAGCUCACUAGUCGAGUCGGCCUGCGCGGAAGAUGUAACGGGGCUAAGCAAUACACCGAAGCUGCGGCAAUGUCUUUUAGACAUUGGGUAGGGGAGCGUUCUGUAAGCCGUUGAAGGUGAAUCGUAAGGUUUGCUGGAGGUAUCAGAAGUGCGAAUGCUGACAUGAGUAACGACAAAGGGGGUGAAAAACCUCCUCGCCGGAAGACCAAGGGUUCCUGUCCAACGUUAAUCGGGGCAGGGUGAGUCGACCCCUAAGGUGAGGCCGAAAGGCGUAAUCGAUGGGAAACGGGUUAAUAUUCCCGUACUUCUGACUAUUGCGAUGGGGGGACGGAGAAGGCUAGGUGGGCCAGGCGACGGUUGUCCUGGUUCAAGUGCGUAGGCUUGAGAGUUAGGUAAAUCCGGCUCUCUCUAAGGCUGAGACACGACGUCGAGCUACUACGGUAGUGAAGUCAUUGAUGCCAUGCUUCCAGGAAAAGCCUCUAAGCUUCAGAUAGUCAGGAAUCGUACCCCAAACCGACACAGGUGGUCGGGUAGAGAAUACCAAGGCGCUUGAGAGAACUCGGGUGAAGGAACUAGGCAAAAUGGUACCGUAACUUCGGGAGAAGGUACGCUCUUGAUGGUGAAGUCCCUCGCGGAUGGAGCUGACGAGAGUCGCAGAUACCAGGUGGCUGCAACUGUUUAUUAAAAACACAGCACUGUGCAAAAUCGCAAGAUGACGUAUACGGUGUGACGCCUGCCCGGUGCCGGAAGGUUAAUUGAUGGGGUUAGCGCAAGCGAAGCUCUUGAUCGAAGCCCCGGUAAACGGCGGCCGUAACUAUAACGGUCCUAAGGUAGCGAAAUUCCUUGUCGGGUAAGUUCCGACCUGCACGAAUGGCGUAAUGAUGGCCACGCUGUCUCCACCCGAGACUCAGUGAAAUUGAAAUCGCUGUGAAGAUGCAGUGUACCCGCGGCUAGACGGAAAGACCCCGUGAACCUUUACUACAGCUUGGCACUGAACAUUGAACCUACAUGUGUAGGAUAGGUGGGAGGCUAUGAAGACGUGACGCCAGUUGCGUUGGAGCCGUCCUUGAAAUACCACCCUUGUAUGU